GACGAACGCUGGCGGCGUGCUUAACACAUGCAAGUCGAACGGAAAGGCCCUGCUUUUGUGGGGUGCUCGAGUGGCGAACGGGUGAGUAACACGUGAGUAACCUGCCCUUGACUUUGGGAUAACUUCAGGAAACUGGGGCUAAUACCGGAUAGGAGCUCCUGCUGCAUGGUGGGGGUUGGAAAGUUUCGGCGGUUGGGGAUGGACUCGCGGCUUAUCAGCUUGUUGGUGGGGUAGUGGCUUACCAAGGCUUUGACGGGUAGCCGGCCUGAGAGGGUGACCGGCCACAAUGGGAAUGAGAUACGGCCCAGACUCCUACGGGAGGCAGCAGUGGGGAAUAUUGAAAAAUGGGCGGAAGCCUGAUGCAGCAACGCCGCGUGCGGGAUGACGGCCUUCGGGUUGUAAACCGCUUUCGCCUGUGACGAAGCGUGAGUGACGGUAAUGGGUAAAGAAGCACCGGCUAACUACGUG
rnacentral:rRNA from 1 species